rnacentral:rRNA from 1 species
UCACUGCCCGAGUUGUAAUCUAGAGAAGUGUUGCUCACACUGGACCAUGUAUAAGUCUUCUGGAAUGAAGCGUCAUAGAGGGUGAGAAUCCCGUCUUUGACAUGGACUCCCCAGUGUAUUUGUAGCAUGCUCUCAAAGAGUCGAGUUGUUUGGGAAUGCAGCUCUAAAUGGGUGGUAACCUCCAUCUAAAGCUAAAUAUUGGCGAGAGACCGAUAGUGAACAAGUACCGUGAGGGAAAGAUGAAAAGAACUUUGGAAAGAGAGUUAAAAAGUACGUGAAAUUGUUGAAAGGGAAACGCUUGAAGUCAGUCACAUUGGCCAGGGAUCAACCCAAGCUUUUGAGUGUACUUCCUGGCUGAUGGGCCAACAUCAGCUUUGACUGUCAGAGAAGGGUAGGGGGAAUGUGGCACCCUUCUUGGGUGUGUUAUAGCCCUCUGUCAUAUAUGGCCGUUGGGGCUGAGGAAUGCAGCGCGCCACAAGGCCGGGCUUCGACCACGUUCGCGCUUAGGAUGUUGGCAUAAUGGCUUUAAUCGACCCGUCUUGAAACACGGACCAAGGAGUCUAACAUGCCUGCGAGUGUUUGGGUGGAAAACCCGAGCGCAUAAUGAAAGUGAAAGUUGAGAUCCCUGUCAUGGGGUGCAUCGACGCCCGGACCUGAGCUUUCUAGCAAUGGCUCUGCGGUAUAGCAUGUAUGUUGGGACCC